rnacentral:rRNA from 1 species
GAUGAACGCUGGCGGCGUGCCUAAUACAUGCAAGUCGAGCGAACAGACGAGGAGCUUGCUCCUCUGACGUUAGCGGCGGACGGGUGAGUAACACGUGGAUAACCUACCUAUAAGACUGGGAUAACUUCGGGAAACCGGAGCUAAUACCGGAUAAUAUAUUGAACCGCAUGGUUCAAUAGUGAAAGACGGUUUUGCUGUCACUUAUAGAUGGAUCCGCGCCGCAUUAGCUAGUUGGCAAGGUAACAGCUUACCAAGGCAACGAUGCGUAGCCGACCUGAGAGGGUGAUCGGCCACACUGGAACUGAGACACGGUCCAGACUCCUACGGGAGGCAGCAGUAGGGAAUCUUCCGCAAUGGGCGAAAGCCUGACGGAGCAACGCCGCGUGAGUGAUGAAGGUCUUCGGAUCGUAAAACUCUGUUAUUAGGGAAGAACAAAUGUGUAAGUAACCAUGCACGUCUUGACGGUACCUAAUCAGAAAGCCACGGCUAACUACGUG